rnacentral:rRNA from 1 species
GAAUAUUGCACAAUGGGCGCAAGCCUGCUGCAGCGACGCCGCGUGGGUGAAGAAGGUUUUCGGAUCGUAAAGCCCUUUUCUGUGUGACGAGACAAGGACGGUAGCACAGGAAUAAGUGUCGGCUAACUACGUGCCAGCAGCCGCGGUAAAACGUAGGACACAAGCGUUAUCCGGAGUUACUGGGCGUAAAGGGCGUGCAGGCGGUUUCUUAAGUCAGGCGUGAAACCAUUCGGCUAAACCGGGUGUAGUCGUCUGAGACUGGGAGACUUGAGUGUGGUAGAGGCGUGUAGAAUUCCGGGUGUAGUGGUGAAAUGCGUAGAUAUCCGGAGGAAUACCAGUGGCGAAGGCGGCACGCUGGGCCAUAGCUGACGCUAAGACGCGAAAGCAUGGGUAGCGAACGGG